CAGUCGCGCGGUAACACGAAGGGUGCAAGCGUUACUCGGAAUUACUGGGCGUAAAGCGUGCGUAGGUGGUGGUUUAAGUCCGUUGUGAAAGCCCUGGGCUCAACCUGGGAAUUGCAGUGGAUACUGGGUCACUAGAGUGUGGUAGAGGAUAGUGGAAUUUCCGGUGUAGCAGUGAAAUGCGUAGAGAUCGGAAGGAACAUCUGUGGCGAAGGCGACUAUCUGGGCCAACACUGACACUGAGGCACGAAAGCGUGGGGAGCAAACAGGAUUAGAUACCCCCGUAGUCCCUGUCUCUUAUACA
rnacentral:rRNA from 1 species